AGAGCGAACGCUGGCGGCAGGCCUAACACAUGCAAGUCGAACGGACUCUUCGGAGUUAGUGGCGGACGGGUGAGUAACACGUGGGAACGUGCCUUUAGGUUCGGAAUAGCUCCUGGAAACGGGUGGUAAUACCGAAUGUGCCCUUCGGGGGAAAGAUUUAUCGCCUUUAGAGCGGCCCGCGUCUGAUUAGCUAGUUGGUGAGGUAAUGGCUCACCAAGGCGACGAUCCGUAACUGGUCUGAGAGGAUGAUCAGUCACACUGGAACUGAGACACGGUCCAGACUCCUACGGGAGCAGC
rnacentral:rRNA from 1 species